rnacentral:rRNA from 1 species
GGUGACCUGCGGAGGGAUCAUUACCAGUGACCCCCGGCUUCGGCCGGGGAUGAUCAUAACCCUUUGCUGUCCGACUCUGUUGCCUCCGGGGCGACCCUGCCUCCGGGCGGGGGCCCCGGGUGGACACAUUCAAACUCUUGCGUAACUUUGCAGUCUGAGUAAAUUUAAUUAAUAAAUUAAAACUUUCAACAACGGAUCUCUUGGUUCUGGCAUCGAUGAAGAACGCAGCGAAAUGCGAUAAGUAAUGUGAAUUGCAGAAUUCAGUGAAUCAUCGAAUCUUUGAACGCACAUUGCGCCCCCUGGUAUUCCGGGGGGCAUGCCUGUUCGAGCGUCAUUUCACCACUCAAGCCUCGCUUGGUAUUGGGCGACGCGGUCCGCCGCGCGCCUCAAAUCGACCGGCUGGGUCUUCUGUCCCCUCAGCGUUGUGGAAACUAUUCGCUAAAGGGUGCCACGGGAGGUCACGCCGUAAAACAAGCCCAUUUCUAAGGUUGACCUCGGAUCAGGUAGGGAUACCCGCUGAACUUAAGCAUAUCAAUAAGCGGAGGAAAAGAAACCAACAGGGAUUGCUCUAGUAACGGCGAGUGAAGCAGCAAUAGCUCAAAUUUGA